ensembl:snoRNA
AGCACCAGUGUAGGUGUCUGUCUAAUGUGUGGACAAAGAGUUUGAGAGCAGUACAAGAAUGAUUAUCCUCUUUUGUUACCCAGAAUUUAUUGUUCUGUAUGAGUUCUGAUACAGAUAAGAAGGAACAUA